AGCGAACGCUGGCGGUAGGCCUAACACAUGCAAGUCGAACGGCAGCACAGGAGAGCUUGCUCUCUGGGUGGCGAGUGGCGGACGGGUGAGGAAUACAUCGGAAUCUACUCUGUCGUGGGGGAUAACGUAGGGAAACUUACGCUGAUACCGCAUACGACCUACGGGUGAAAGCAGGGGACCUUCGGGCCUUGCGCGAUUGAAUGAGCCGAUGUCGGAUUAGCUAGUUGGCGGGGUAAAGGCCCACCAAGGCGACGAUCCGUAGCUGGUCUGAGAGGAUGAUCAGCAACACUGGAACUGAGACACGGUCCAGACUCCUACGGGAGGCAGCAGUGGGGAAUAUUGGACAAUGGGCGCAAGCCUGAUCCAGCCAUACCGCGUGGGUGAAGAAGGCCUUCGGGUUGUAAAGCCCUUUUGUUGGGAAAGAAAUCCAGCUGGCUAAUACCCGGUUGGGAUGACGGUACCCAAAGAAUAAGCACCGGCUAACUUCGUGCCAGCCGCCGCCGUAA
rnacentral:rRNA from 1 species